GACGAACGCUGGCGGCGUGCCUAAUACAUGCAAGUAGAACGCUGAAGAGAGGAGCUUGCUCUUCUUGGAUGAGUUGCGAACGGGUGAGUAACGCGUAGGUAACCUGCCUGGUAGCGGGGGAUAACUAUUGGAAACGAUAGCUAAUACCGCAUGAUAUUAAUUAUCGCAUGAUAAUUAAUUGAAAGAUGCAAUUGCAUCACUACCAGAUGGACCUGCGUUGUAUUAGCUAGUUGGUGAGGUAACGGCUCACCAAGGCGACGAUACAUAGCCGACCUGAGAGGGUGAUCGGCCACACUGGGACUGAGACACGGCCCAGACUCCUACGGGAGGCAGCAGUAGGGAAUCUUCGGCAAUGGGGGGAACCCUGACCGAGCAACGCCGCGUGAGUGAAGAAGGUUUUCGGAUCGUAAAGCUCUGUUGUAAGAGAAGAACGGGUGUGAGAGUGGAAAGUUCACACUGUGACGUAUCUAC
rnacentral:rRNA from 1 species